UUUGUUGAAAAAAUUCCCAUAGGGAUGAAAUCCUUUAAAAUUUCAUUUAAUUUCGUUUGAAUCAAAGGGGGCUAAAUCAUUUAGGGCAUUAAGGGAAUACAUGUCAGAAAACUUAUCGUUGGUUGGUGUAUUCGGUGAUAUGCUCAUAUUAGAUUUACCACUAUAGUGCAUAUUUUGCAUUCACAGAUAGCCUCCAAAAUUAUUCCAACAACCACAAUAUGCUUUGAGCAACCAAGUUUGGGGUACCAAACCGGUGAGACAAAAAAACUGUGACCCAACCAAAAAAAGGACAAAAGCACACGGGGACUUAGGGACUCGGGCCUCCAAAUGUGGCAUGAUAGUUUGAACGGCCCAGCCCAGCACAUGAGUAGUCUCAUGGGCCAUGGCUCCGGCUGCGGCUCCCUCCUCCCCGCCGCGUUCCCGCAGCCGCC
rnacentral:lncRNA from 1 species